GCCGCGGUCACCUGGAGAGCCGAGCAGCGCGAGCACCGCCCACCUGGAAAGAUUCAACUAUCCUUAACAUGUAUUUGCCUCUCAUGGGAAGAUCGAGAAAAACUAAACAAAAAGACAUUUUACACCAUUUGCUUUGUUAUUUGCUCACUCUCUCUCCGGAUCCAAAGAAAAACAAGAGGGUUCUUUUUGCCUUCUACUCCUCAAAACACACCAGGAGCUCAGCAAUUGGAGGGGAGGCUGAAGGACAAAAACAUUGAUACCUCAUAGAGCAACGGUAUAAGAGCCAAUAGAGACUGCUGACCCUGGAAGUCAAGGAUCCGAAAGAAGGCGCCCAAUCAUUUGGUUUCAUUCGAUCGUUAUUCAGUCUUCUAUCAUCAUAGUUCUACCCUCCUACUCGGAUGCCUACCGUGGGGCCCUUACCAUUGCUCUCCUCUGCCUGGAAUGCCCGCCUCUUCUUGCACUCAAGCCCCUGUUCUAUUCAGAAAUUAGAAAAAAGUUACCUCCAUAGGCAGAGAAUUCAACUGUGAGUUGACAAUUAUUUACGAUUGUCUUAACUGGCUGUUUC